rnacentral:lncRNA from 1 species
CCAUCUCCAGCAUCUUGGUGAAUGGCCCGUCCCACUUUCCCGUGCGGUUGGUGCGGAGGAUCUCGUAGGACAUGGUGUCCCAGUGCUCGAUGUAGGGCAGGUGCUCCGGGGCGACGCGGGCACCGGUCACCCAUCCGUCGCUGACGGUCUUCCGGAUGGGCGCCACCCGCUGGGCCUCGCACAUCACCACCUUCAGCACCGCCAGCGCCCGCUUGACCGGCUCGACGUCGGCCCCCCGGCGGUAGGCGGUGAGCACGCGGAUGGCCUCCAGCAAGGCCUCCCGCCCCAGCGGCACGCCGGGGAGGUUUUCGAGGCCGCCGAUGAGCUCGCUGUAGCUGCUGCCGAACGGGAGGGUCGUGGACGCGGGGAAGAGGUGCUCAAGGCCAGGGAAGGUGUGCCAGUCGCCGCUGCCAUCGGUGAAGCCGGCAACAGAGACGUCGUGCUUCUG